GACGAACGCUGGCGGCAGGCCUAACACAUGCAAGUCGAACGGCAGCGGGUCCUUCGGGAUGCCGGCGAGUGGCGGACGGGUGAGGAAUGCGUCGGAAUCUGCCUCUUUGUGGGGGAUAAC
rnacentral:rRNA from 1 species